rnacentral:rRNA from 1 species
UACGUAGGGUGCGAGCGUUGUCCGGAAUUAUUGGGCGUAAAGAGCUCGUAGGCGGUUUGUUACGUCGGCCGUGAAAACCUGCAGCUUAACUGUGGGCGUGCGGUCGAUACGGGCAUCACUGGAGUUCGGCAGGGGAGACUGGAAUUCCUGGUGUAGCGGUGAAAUGCGCAGAUAUCAGGAGGAACACCGGUGGCGAAGGCGGGACUCUGGGCCGAUACUGACGCUGAGGAGCGAAAGCGUGGGGAGCGAACAGG